rnacentral:rRNA from 1 species
UACGAAGGGGCUGAGCGUUGUCCGGAAUUAUUGGCGUAAAGAGCUCGUAGGCGGUCUGUCGCGUCGGCUGUGAAAUCCCGGAGCUCAACUCCGGGUCUGCAGUCGAUACGGGCAAACGUGGAGUACUGCGAGGGGAGACUGGAAUUCCUGGUGUAGCGGUGAAAUGCGCAGAUAUCAGGAGGAACACCGGUGGCGAAGGCGGGUCUCGUGGGCAGUGAACUGACGCUGAGGAGCGAAAGACCGUGGGGAGCGAACAG